CGCACCUUCGGGUGAGUGGCGGACGGGUGAGUAAUAUAUAGAAAUCUGCCCCGAGGUACGGGAUAACUGUUGGAAACAGCAGCUAAUACCGUAUAUCCCAUAUUGGGAAAGUUCCGGCGCCUCGGGAUGAGUCUAUAUCUGAUUAGCUAGUUGGUAGGGUAAGAGCCUACCAAGGCAACGAUCAGUAGCUGGUUUGAGAGGAUGACCAGCCACACUGGAACUGAGACACGGUCCAGACUCC
rnacentral:rRNA from 1 species